GACUCUCGAUAAUGGAUAUCUCAUCUCUCGCAUCGAUGAAGAACAUAGCGAAAUGCGAUACUUGGUGUGAAUUGUAGAAUAUUAUGAACUAUCGAGUCCUUCAAUGCAAGUUGCGCCCGAAGCCAUUAGGCUAAGGGCACGUAUACCUGGGCGUCA